rnacentral:rRNA from 1 species
CCUACGGGAGGCAGCAGUAAGGAAUAUUGGUCAAUGGACGAAAGUCUGAACCAGCCAUGCCGCGUGAAGGAUGAAGGUCCUCUGGAUUGUAAACUUCUUUUAUCUGGGACGAAAAAAGGGCUUUCCAGCUCACUUGACGGUACCAGAGGAAUAAGCACCGGCUAACUCCGUGCCAGCAGCCGCGGUAAUACGGAGGGUGCAAGCGUUAUCCGGAUUUACUGGGUUUAAAGGGAGCGUAGGUGGGCAGGUAAGUCAGUGGUGAAAUCUCUGGGCUUAACCCGGAAACUGCCAUUGAUACUAUCUGUCUUGAAUAUCCUGGAGGUAAGCGGAAUAUGUCAUGUAGCGGUGAAAUGCUUAGAUAUGACAUAGAACACCCAUUGCGAAGGCAGCUUACUACGGGAUUAUUGACACUGAGGCUCGAAAGCGUGGGGAUCAAACAGGAUUAGAUACCCUGGUAGUCCACGCCCUAAACGAUGGAUACUCGACAUCAGCGAUACACUGUUGGUGUCUGAGCGAAAGCAUUAAGUAUCCCACCUGGGAAGUAACGACCGCGAAGGUUGAAACGUUCAAAUGAAUUGACGGCGNGAGAGNGCGACGACGACGACGAGGGAGGAGG